rnacentral:rRNA from 1 species
GCGAACCGCGAAUGGCUCAUUAAAUCAGUUAUGGUUCACUAGAUCGUACAGUUUACAUGGAUAACUGUGGUAAUUCUAGAGCUAAUACAUGCACCCAGUCCGUUCCCUCGUGGAGCGGAUGCAGUUAUUUGCCCAAAACCAAUCCGGCCUUCGGGUCGGUCAAUUGGUGACUCUGAAUAACCGAAGCGGAGCGCAUGGUCUCGUACCGGCGCCAGAUCUUUCAAGUGUCUGACUUAUCAGCUUGUUGUUAGGUUAUGUUCCUAACAAGGCAUCAACGGGUAACGGAGUGUCAGGGCCCGACACCGGAGAGGGAGCCUGAGAAACGGCUACCACAUCCAAGGAAGGCAGCAGGCGCGCAAAUUACCCACUCCCGGCACGGGGAGGUAGUGACGAAAAAUAACGAUGCGAGAGCUUUAUGCUCCUCGUAAUCGGAAUGGGUACACUUUAAAUCCUUUAACGAGGAUCUAUUGGAGGGCAAGUCUGGUGCCAGCAGCCGCGGUAAUUCCAGCUCCAAUAGCGUAUAUUAAAGUUGCUGCGGUUAAAAAGCUCGUAGUUGGAUCUGGGUAGUCGAUGGACGGUGCGCUUUACGGCGUCUACUGUUCGUUCGGCACCACAUGCCGGCCAUGUCUUGCAUGCUCUUCACUGAGUGUGCUUGGCGACCGGAACGUUUACUUUGAAAAAAUUAGAGUGCUCAAAGCAGGCGUUAAGCCUUGCAUAAUGGUGCAUGGAAUAAUAGAAUAGGACCUCGGUUCUAUUUUGUUGGUUUUCGGAGCUCGAGGUAAUGAUUAAUAGGAACAGACGGGGGCAUUCGUAUUGCGGCGUUAGAGGUGAAAUUCUGAU